rnacentral:rRNA from 1 species
AGCAGUCGCCACGGUAAUACGUAGAUGGCAAGCGUUGUCCGGAAUUAUUGGGCGUAAAGGGCUCGCAGGCGGUUUCUUAAGUCUGAUGUGAAAGCCCCCGGCUCAACCGGGGAGGGUCAUUGGAAACUGGGAAUCUUGAGUGCAGAAGAGGAGAGUGGAAUUCCACGUGUAGCGGUGAAAUGCGUAGAGAUGUGGAGGAACACCAGUGGCGAAGGCGACUCUCUGGUCUGUAACUGACGCUGAGGAGCGAAAGCGUGGGGAGCGAACAGGAUUAGAUACCCCAGUAGUCCCUGUCUCUUAUAC